UCCGCAGGCGGGCAAUUAAGUCAGAGGUGAAAUCCCACAGCUCAACUGUGGAACUGCCUUUGAUACUGGUUGUCUUGAGUUAUAGUGAAGUAGAUAGAAUAUGUAGUGUAGCGGUGAAAUGCAUAGAUAUUACAUAGAAUACCGAUUGCGAAGGCAGUCUACUAACUGUAUGCUGACGCUAAUGGACGAAAGCGUGGGGAGCGAACAGGAUUAGAUACCCUGGUAGUCC
rnacentral:rRNA from 1 species